rnacentral:rRNA from 1 species
CAGCCGCCGCGGGAAUACGAAGGGUGCAAGCGUUAAUCGGAAUUACUGGGCGUAAAGCGUGCGUAGGCGGUGAGUUAAGUCUGCUGUGAAAUCCCCGGGCUCAACCUGGGAAUGGCAGUGGAUACUGGCUCGCUAGAGUGUGUCAGAGGAUGGUGGAAUUCCCGGUGUAGCGGUGAAAUGCGUAGAGAUCGGGAGGAACAUCAGUGGCGAAGGCGGCCAUCUGGGACAACACUGACGCUGAGGCACGAAAGCGUGGGGAGCAAACAGGAUUAGAUACCCGUGUAGUCCCUGUCUCUUAUAA